CCAAAACAAAGAAACCCUUACCACUUUUUCACUUUCAUUUACCCCAAAACACAAAAAAAAAAAACCCUCAGAGGCAAAACAAUCGUUUGAGGAGAGCUGAAGCUGCACUCUUCCUGGCCUUGUUAAGAAGCCCGUGCUUAACCUAGUGAUCAUCUCCAUAUUUGGGUUUCGCACCUUAAGUGAAUCGAAUGGUUGGUAAAUAAAAAUUCAUAGCUGCAAGAGAGAAGCUGACCAUGUAUAGCAAGAUCAUCCAUCGCUGAAGCCAUCGCCUCCGACGAAAUCUUGAGCAAAUAUUAUGUAAGUAUGAUAUUUGUUCAUCGCUUGUUAUCGUGAUCGACUAAUUUCAGUUUCAAUGAAUACAACCCGACAUUCUUGGUAGGAAAAAAUGUCACCCUCAUCCCGACCGUAUCGAAGAUUUUUUAAAAUUUAUCCAAUUUUGACUUCAAAUACGAAACAGCUAAAAAUAGGGUGUUGAGUGUACUACUGGAACUAAAAAUAACAUACCAACAAUUAAUUUGAUUUUUACUGUGUUAAUAAAUUCAGGUUCAAAUAAAGCCAGAGACAAAUAAUUAAGAAAAAAUAAAAACGCAAAUCAACUUUAAUUAAAUCAAGUUGAUUUUUAAACAUUACAGCGACAUUGCCCUAAAACUCAAUUACAGAUAAAUCCAUAAAGCAAAGAAGAGGAACAAACCAGCGAGUGGCGUUCGCCAGCCUGGAAGGAGAGUUUCUGGUGAUGCAUUGCCUGAGAAUAGAGGUGGGAUAGGGAGUUGGCCGCGCUGCUGAAAGUGGUGUACAAGGUACGAUCCACCUCAUCUAGGCGCGUUGCAUCGGAUUUCCUCUUCUUUGCCAUGGGAAAAAAUGGGAUUUCUUAUGAUUUUUGACAAAACCCUAGAUUGCUUGGUCCGUAUAAGAUGUAUGUCUAUAUAUAAGAAAUACAUGGGAAGGAAAAUGUUGAAAGUGCUCAGGUUACAUUGUACAGGGUGAUGAUAGUUGUAAACAAAAUGGCUUUACUAACUCUCACGUAAUUAGUAGAUUUCGCGUGAAUUUAAAAAAUAUCGAUUUGUAGUCCUCACAUCCAUUGUAAGUAAUGAUUUUGUAAAAAAAAAAUUUGUACAUCAGUACAUGUAGCAUGAUCCUUAUGCACAACCCAUUUGGCUGAAAUUUUAUUGGAUUUUAAAAUAUUGUAAAUCUUAUAAAACUAAUGAAUUAUCUUGAAUUUAAAUAGAUUUAAUCAAAUUUAUUAAGAGUAUUUUCAAAUUUGAAAUCCAUUCAAAUAUUCUGGAAUCCCAUGUUCUUAAUUGAGAGUUUAAAUUAAAAUUUCAAUUCGAAACACCUAAUUUAGAAAGAUUUUUAAAUUUUCAGUUGAGUAUACCUCAACAUCAAUUGGAUCAUGACAAUUUGUAUGAUAUCUCGGUGCUUAGCACAUAAGUGCAUGACAAGAGUUAUUGUUGAACUAAUUAAUCCUCUGAAGGAUCAUAUUCUUAUUCAUCACUAAUUAUUGCUCCCGUUUGACCUCUAUUAUUUUUCAUUCCAUUGCAUUUUAUUUUUAUCUCUCAUAUUUUUAACCACACAAUCUUCCAUAAAAUAAUAUUACUCGUAAACAGAAAACUUUUCCUUUUUUUCAACUACUAAUUUUCAAAAAAUUAUUAUUUCACUCAUUUUCAUUUUCCACAAAAUGGGGGCCAAACAGGGACAUUGUUUCAUGUCAAUAGUACGUGGAAGAUCUUUACUAUAUUCAAUCUCGUUAUAUGUACCCGAUUGUUUACUUGAUGGUUGAUACUGGCCCAAAACAAAUGAAACCCUUACCACUUUUUCACUUUCAUUUACCCCAAAACACAAAAAAAAGGGGGAUUUGAUAAAAAAGCCUAGUUAAACAAUGAUUUUGAUAAAAUAACCUUCCUUCAAUGUUUCUUGGUCAAAUGGCCUUCAUUUAUAAAAUACAAUAAACAAAUAAUGUCAAAUAUCUAAAAUACCCUCAUUAUGGAAAAUACCCAAAUACCCCUUUCAAUCCAAUUAAAUUCCUCAAUUCAUCUACAAAAUGCAUUAACCUGUUUUCCCUGUGAUUUCUUCCCUAAAAUCUUGAUAUUCAUUGUAUUUUUCUUCUAUCUUCUCCAACAUUGUGAGCAUUUGAACAAGAAUUUUAUUAUCUAUAUUAUCUACAUUGAGAUUUCCACUAUAUUUAAAGAAAAAAGAAAGGUAUUUUUAGAAAUCUCAUUUAUAUUGGUACCUUUAUUGUUUAAUAUAGUAUAAAAUGAUAUUUUAAUUGAUUCUAUUUUCUCAUUUAGUGUAUAUUUGUAUCGUCCGCAACUAUUGGACGAUAACGAUUGGAAACGACAAUCCAGUCGUUAUCUGUAGUGUAGAACGACACUACAGUCGUUAUCCUCCAUGUAAAGUGACAGUACAACCAUUAUCUGUUAUGAUCUGUUUCUUAUUGAUAAUAUAUUGUGGUUACUUUGAUAAUUUAAAUAUUGUAACUAUUUUCUUAUUAUUUUAAUAUAUACUUGAAUCGAUGAAAUCAUAAUGAUAGAUAUUUAUUUUUUGUUAUAACAAAAUAUCACGGUACCAUUUCGAGUAUUUUACCUAAAAAAUAUAGAAAUGAUGUUUAGAUAUUAAAUAUCAUUGAUCUAAUAACAAUUUAUUUUUAAAUAUACAAGUUAUCAAUUAUUCGUAUCGUGUUUACAUAAGUAACAACACUUGUGCUGUUUUCAUAACAGUAACAUCACUAGUGUUAUUCUCAUUUUUCAUGUUGUCCAAGCAAUGAGAGUAUCUUUCAAAUUAUGUGAGCGGCAUGUCCAUUUCGCAAAUUACAUGAGUUCAAAUUAUGGAAUAUCGAGGUCCGGAAGGCGUGUGACUGCUCAUACUCGUGUUUAUCGACAGAACGACACAAGUGACAUUUAAUGGCAUCUAUGUUGUUCUGUUGGUUUCUCCUAUAUUUCGCUUUAUUUUCACCGCAUCGACCUUAAAGGAUCGGGCCUCCUAACUUAAGAAAGUCAAAAUUAUUAAUUACGUAACAAAUAACAGAAGAAUUGGCAUAGAUUGUAGAUAUCGCGUUGGUGAAAUCACAAGUCACCAUCCACAUUCAUUAGAAAACUAAAGUAAUGAGGGUAUCUCCCAAAUUAUGUGAGCAACAUGUACAUCUCGCCACUCGUAUGAGUUCAACUUCUCGAAUAUAGGGGUUCGGAAGGCUUGUGGCUACUCAAACUCGUAUUUAUUGACAGAACGACACAAGUGCCGUUUAACGGCUCUUGUGUCGUUCUGUCAAUAAACACGAGUUUGAGUAGCCUAGUCAAACAAUGAUUUUGAUAAAAUAACCUUCCUUCAAUGUUUCUUGGUCAAAUGGCCUUCAUUUAUAAAAUACAAUAAACAAAUAAUGUCAAAUAUCUAAAAUACCCUCAUUAUGGAAAAUACCCAAAUACCCCUUUCAAUCCAAUUAAAUUCCUCAAUUCAUCUACAAAAUGCAUUAACCUGUUUUCCCUGUGAUUUCUUCCCUAAAAUCUUGAUAUUCAUUGUAUUUUUCUUCUAUCUUCUCCAACAUUGUGAGCAUUUGAACAAGAAUUUUAUUAUCUAUAUUAUCUACAUUGAGAUUUCCACUAUAUUUGAUUUCUUCCCUAAAAUCUUGAUAUUCAUUGUAUUUUUCUUCUAUCUUCUCCAACAUUGUGAGCAUUUGAACAAGAAUUUUAUUAUCUAUAUUAUCUACAUUGAGAUUUCCACUAUAUUUAAAGAAAAAAGAAAGGUAUUUUUAGAAAUCUCAUUUAUAUUGGUACCUUUAUUGUUUAAUAUAGUAUAAAAUGAUAUUUUAAUUGAUUCUAUUUUCUCAUUUAGUGUAUAUUUGUAUCGUCCGCAACUAUUGGACGAUAACGAUUGGAAACGACAAUCCAGUCGUUAUCUGUAGUGUAGAACGACACUACAGUCGUUAUCCUCCAUGUAAAGUGACAGUACAACCAUUAUCUGUUAUGAUCUGUCUCUUAUUGAUAAUAUAUUGUGGUUACUUUGAUAAUUUAAAUAUUGUAACUAUUUUCUUAUUAUUUUAAUAUAUACUUGAAUCGAUGAAAUCAUAAUGAUAGAUAUUUAUUUUUUGUUAUAACAAAAUAUCACGGUACCAUUUCGAGUAUUUUACCUAAAAAAUAUAGAAAUGAUGUUUAGAUAUUAAAUAUCAUUGAUCUAGUAACAAUUUAUUUUUAAAUAUACGAGUUAUCAAUUAUUCGUAUCGUGUUUACAUAAGUAACGACACUUGUGCUGGUUUCAUAACAGUAACAUCACUAGUGUUGUUCUCAUUUUUCAUGUUGUUCAAGCAAUGAGAGUAUCUUCCAAAUUAUGUGAGCGGCAUGUCCAUUUCGCAAAUUACAUGAGUUCAAAUUAUGGAAUAUCGAGGUCUGGAAGGCGUGUGACUACUCAUACUCUUGUUUAUCGACAGAACGACACAAGUGACGUUUAAUGGUAUCUAUGUUGUUCUGUUGGUUUCUCCUAUAUUUCGCUUUAUUUUCACCUCGUCGACCUUAAGGAUCGGGCCUCCUAACUUAAGAAAGUCAAAAUUAUUAAUUACGUAACAAAUAACAGAAGAAUUGGCAUAGAUUGUAGAUAUCGCGUUGGUGAAAUCACAAGUCACCAUCCACAUUCAUUAGAAAACUAAAGUAAUGAGGGUAUCUCCCAAAUUAUGUGAGCAACAUGUACAUCUCGCCACUCGUAUGAGUUCAACUUCUCGAAUAUAGGGGUCCGGAAGGCUCGUGGCUACUCAAACUCAUGUUUAUUGACAGAACGACACAAGUGCCGUUUAACGGCACUUGUGUCGUUCUGUCGAUUUAUCUCAUUUUUCCCUUCAUUUCAUCCGCACAUCGACCUCAAAGAUCGGACCUCCUAACUUAAGAAAGUCAGAAUUAUUGAUUAUGUGACGGAUAAUGAGAGAAUUGGCAUAGAUUUCGGUGAAAUCACAAGUAACCAUCCACAUUUGUUAGAAAACCAAAGUAAUGAGGGUAUCUCCCAAAUUAUGUGAGCAACAUGUCAAUCUCGCGACUCAAAUAAGUUCAAGUUCGCAAAUACAGGGGCCCGAAAAGCUCGUGACUGCUCAAACUCGUAUUUAUUAACAGAACGACACAAGUGCCGUUUAACAGCACUUGUGUCGUUCUGUUGAUUUCUCCCAUUUUUCGCUUCAUUUCCUCCUCGUCGAUUUCAAAGAUUGGACCUCCUAACUUAAGAAAGUCAGAAUUAUUAAUUACGUGACGGAUAACGGAAGAAUUGGCAUGGAUUUCGGUGAAAUCACAAGUUACCAUCCACAUUCGUUAGAAAACCAAAGUAAUGAGGGUAUCUCUCAAAUUAUGUGAUCGACAUGUCUACCUAGCGACUCAAAUGAGUUCAACUUCUCGAAUACAGGGGCCCGGAAGGCUCGUGAGAGCUCAAACUCGUGUUUAUUGACAGAACGACACAAGUGUUGUUAAACGACACUUGUGUCGUUCUAUUGAUUUAUCUCAUUUUUCACUUCAUUUCCUCUGCGUCGACCUCAAAGAUCGGACCUUCUAACUUAAGAAAGUCAGAAUUAUUGAUUACGUAUCGGAUAAUGAGAAAUUGGCAUGGAUUUCGGUGAAAUCACAAGUUACCAUCCACAUUCGUUAGAAAACCAAAGUAAUGAGGGUAUCUCUCAAAUUAUGUGAUCGACAUGUCUACCUAGCGACUCAAAUGAGUUCAACUUGUCGAAUACAAGGGCCUGAAAUGCUCGUGGCUGCUCAAACUCGUGUUUAUUAACAGAACGACACAAGUGUCGUUUAACAACACUUUUGUCGUUCUGUUGAUUUCUCCCUUUUUUGCUUCAUUUUCUACGCGUCAACCUCAAAAAUUGGACCUCCUAACUUAAGAAAGUCAGAAUUAUUGAUUACGUGACGGAUAACGGGAGAAUUGGUAUGGAUUUCAGUGAAAUCACAAGUCACCAUCCACAUUCGUUAGAAAAUCAAAGUUAUGAAGGUAUCUCCCAAAUUAUGUGAGCGACAUGUCCAUCUCGGGACUCAAAUGAAUUCAACUUCUCGAAUAUAGGGAGCCCGAAAACCUCGUGGCUGUUCAAACUCGUGUUUAUUGACAGAACGACACUUAUGUCGUUCUGUUGAUUUAUCCCAUUUUUCGCUUCAUUUCCUCCGCGUCGACCUCAAAGAUCGGACCUUCUAUUGAAAAAUAUUUAUUUUAUGCUUAUAUUAAAAAAAUAAAAAUCUGAAUUUUUUUUUUGAAAUUCGGUUUGGUAAGUGAAUAUACGAUGUUCUGCACUCUCGGUAUUUGUAAGUGCAAAAAUCGUCAUAUAAAAAUACACUACAAAUACGGUAGGCAGCAUAUACGAUAAGUUGCAAAUACCGUAGGCAACAUAUAUGGUAAGGUGAAAAUAUGGUAAGUUGUUUGCAAAUACGGUAAGCUGUAAAUACGGUAGGCAGCGUAUACGGUAAGAUGAAAAUACGGUAAUGUAAAAAUACGGUAAGUUGUUUGCAAAUACGGUAGGCUGCAAAUACGGUAAGUUGUUUACAAAUACGGUAGACUGUAAAUACGGUAAAUUGCAAAUACGGUAAGUUNNNNNNNNNNNNNNNNNNNNNNNNNNNNNNNNNNNNNNNNNNNNNNNNNNNNNNNNNNNNNNNNNNNNNNNNNNNNNNNNNNNNNNNNNNNNNNNNNNNNNNNNNNNNAUAAUCUUCACAUUCAAUUCAAUCAUAUCAACACUAUCAAAGAAUACAAACAAAAUAGUUUGUAUAUUUCUUAUUCAAACAUGAAAUAUACAAGCAUAUUUUUCUAGAUAACAUACUGCUAUACAAUUGUAAAAAUAAUUUAUAAUUAUUUUCAUAUAUUAUGAAAAUAUUUUUAGAUAUUGCUUCUAAAACUUUCCAAAAAAAUCAAAAUUCAUACACUCAUAAAAAUAUAAUAAAUACAAAAUGUGUGCAGCGCACGUGAUAGCGACUAGUUUAAACAUAACAACAGUUACACCGUUUUAAUGUUUUAUCUCAAUCCAGUAACGGCACAAGAGUCGUUUUAUAAGCGGUAACAACACUUGUGCCGUUCUUAUGAACAUGUUUUUGUCUUUAUAACGCUACUUGUGUCGUUUUUCCUAUCUUGAGUUAUAUGAACAUUAUCGUCGCUUGUGUCAUACUCGUUAUUAAGUUUGUCACUAUAACGGCAGUUGUGUCGNAAUCACGACCACCAAAAUGCCCACACCACGUCUACUUUUACCUCUAUAUGGAGCUCGACUUGUAAACCAAAUCAGCCAAUGGGCACCUCUUGAUUGGUUUAUCAAAUCAGCUGGUGGCUUUGUUGAUACGUGAACAAUGUAGGGAAUAUCAAGGCCAUGACCUGCCAUAUCUGUCACAACCAAAAUUAGUGUGUUUUCACUUUUAAACGAUUUCAAUGCUAGUUCUCUUUCUUGGAACAACAGGUAAAUCAAAGUCAAAUCAAGUAAUAAUCAAUGUAGGCGUAAUGAUACAACGUUUACGCAACUAAAGAAUAAAAUGAUUCAAUAAAGUCAAGGGGAAACACAACCUUUUAAAUUGCAAACUUAUAUACAUUAUUUAGUAGGUGAAGUUCCAAUCUACAAAUAAGGGUACUCUGGUAAAAAUAGGCAAAAUAUAAUAUGAAAAAAUUCUGAAAUCAACAAGUGUAAAGUUUAAUAAUAGAACUAACAUAAAAUAGGAAUUACAGUAAAACAUAAUAUAAAGAAUUUUCCUAAAAAUGCCGAAUUAUUUAAAUCAAAUUAUUCUUAAUGCAACUCUCUAAGUUUCAAGGCAUAUCAAAGAACAAGCACAUUUACAUAUCACAAUUUCGAUUUAUAGCAAUGCCAGUAAAUGAAUUGUUUUUUAACCCAUCAUCUUCAAAACCCCCAAAUGUAUCAAAAAUCCAUUCACAUUAAAAAAACUCAGCUAAAACUAAACUAAAUAUACAAAUAAAUCACAAAAUCAUAAAAAAAAUGCAAUUUUUACAAAUUUUUAUUAUAAAACUAUAGUAAUGGAAGCACAAAAUCACAUUUUAAAAUAACAAAAAAGAAAAUAAAAAUCGUAGAAAAAAUUACCUUUUUUGUUGUCUUAACUUGUACCAAAGAGAGAGUAAAGUAAUGUGAAAUAAACUAGAGUCAAAGAAAAGUUUUUUGUAAUAUUGAAAUAUAGUGAAAAUUAAGGUGAAGAAGAUGGGUUUGGAAUUCAAAUUUGGGGAAUAGGGUUUUACAGGCCCUCAGAGGCAAAACAAUCGUUUGAGGAGAGCUGAAGCUGCACUCUUCCUGGCCUUGUUAAGAAGCCCGUGCUUAACCUAGUGAUCAUCUCCAUAUUUGGGUUUCUCACGUUAAGUGAAUCGAAUGGUUGGUAAAUAAAAAUUUGUAGCUGCAAAAGAGAAGCUGACCAUGUAUAGCAAGAUCAUCCAUCGUUGAAGCCAUCGCCUCCGACGAAAUCUUGAGCAAAU
rnacentral:lncRNA from 1 species